rnacentral:ncRNA from 1 species
GUGAGGGUGGACCUCCGGCAGAUAGCGCACUCACGCGCUUCCCCGGAAAGGGAAUCGGGUUAAGAUUUCCUGGGCCGGGAUGUGGCGGUUGACGGCGACGUUAGGAAGUCCGGAGACGCCGGCGGGGGCCUCGGGAAGAGUUAUCUUUUCUGCUUAACGGCCUGCCAACCCUGGAAACGGUUCAGCCGGAGGUAGGGUCC